rnacentral:rRNA from 1 species
UGUAAAGUUCAAGCUCCGAUUAUGAGGGCGAAACCGCGAAUGGCUCAUUAAAUCAGUCAUAAUCUACUUGAUUGUUUAAAGGUUAUAUGGAUAACUGUGGUAAUUCUAGAGCUAAUACAUGCACAAAAAGGGCGACUCUCGUAAGGGAGAAGCUCUGCGUUUAUUAGAUUAAGACCAAUGGAUGCCCUCGUGGUAUUCCUUUGUUAAGCUGACUCUGAGUAAAUAAUGGGUGAAAGCCCAUGUUGCCGACCUGACAUACCAAAAGGCCCCAAAAGGGUCUGUCAGGCAAAUCAAUCGAGUGUCUGCUCUAUCAACUGUGGAUGGUAGGAUAAUUGCCUACCAUGGUGGUAACGGGUAACGGGGAGUUAGGGCUCGACUCCGGAGAACAAGCCUGAGAAACGGCUAGUAGGACUAAGGUCUGCAGCAGGCGCGAAACUUACACAAUGCUAGAUUAAAAUUAGCGAUGUAGUGAAGAAAAAUAACGAUGUACUUCCGUUUAAACAUGGUAGUACAAUUGGAAUGAGACGACUAUAAACCAGUUAGUCGAGUAACAAAUGGAGGGCAAGUCUGGUGCCAGCAGCCGCGGUAAUUCCAGCUCCAUUAGCAUACAUUAAAGUUGUUGCGGUUAAAAAGCUCGUAGUUGAAUUUCUAGCGGGCUCUAUUGGGGUGCAAUCGUUUAAGGCUAUACGAUGGUCUUCGACCUAUCUAUAGCUGGUUGUCAUCUUCCUAUAUUAACCCGCUGUUUCGUCACUUAUUCGAGUGCGAAGCGGGCUGGCACACGAAUGUACUUCGCGUAUUAUUCUGUAUCAGCAAGUUUACCUUGAGAAAAUUAGAGUGCUCACAGCAGGCAGUUGGGGCCAAAAACCCCUUUAUGCUUGAAUAAUGUUGCAUGGAAUAAUAGAAUACGGCCUCGGUUCUAUUCUGUUGGUCUUAUAGAACAACAAAUAAGUUGGUUAGAGCGAUCAAAAGUUCGUUUGCGUGUGUGGUAUUAGUGGGUUACUUGUUACGUUAGCAUCAUGCCAAUUAUGUUACCUAGGGCCUUAAAAUCUUAGCGUCAUAUUGGCGUUGUUAUACGUACAUGUUAGCUCCUAAUGCUAUUCCAAAACACUCCUUACGGGCUAGCUUUUCAGCCAACUGAGGCAAUGGUAAAGGAAAUAGUUGCGGCGGCAUCAGUACUGCAUCGUGAGAGGUGAAAUUCUUAGACCGAUGCAAGACUAACUGAAGCGAAAGCGUUUGCCGAGGAUAUUUUCAUUAAUCAAGAACGAAAGUUAGAGGUUCGAAGGCGAUCAGAUACCGCCCUAGUUCUAACCAUAAACGUUGCCAACUAGCAAUUGGGUUGCGAUUCCUUUAAUCGAAGCCUAAAAAACUUCGAUCAUUAUGAUCCACCCAGCGGCUCUCGUAGGGAAACCAAAGUGUUUGGGUUCCGGGGGAAGUAUGAUUGCAAAGUUGAAACUUAAAGGAAUUGACGGAAGGGCACCACCAGGAGUGGAGCCUGCGGCUUAAUUUGACUCAACACGGGGAAACUUACUAGAUUAGAACUCUGGAAUGAUUGACAGAUUGAUAGCUCUUUCUUGAUUCAGAGGAUGGUGGUGCAUGGCCGUUCUUGAUUCGUAUUCCGAAACGUCUGCUUAAUUGCGAUAACGAGUGAGACCUCACCCAACUAACUAGUCGUUUGGUGCGCUGUGGAACGCUAAAAUCUCAUGUAGGCUCUUGUAUAGUAGGUGCGGGCAACCGUUGCUUGCUAUGCUUCUUAUGUGAGAUGUUCUCUGUUCGCCAGCGGACUUCUUAGAGGGAUAAACGGUGUUUUAGCCGUAAGAAACGAGGCAAUAACAGGUCUGUGAUGCCCCUAGAUAUUUUAGGCCGCACGCGUGCUACAAUGGCGUGUGCAGAAAGCUUGUUCGAGGUUUGUCUGAAGAGAACUGGCCGUUUGGCAGGUAUUGGGCAGCAAUGUUUAGUAUUUGUCGGCGGAGAAGUGACUUCAGUUAGCAGGCCGAGAGAAACCGUAGUCGAAAGAUUACGGCAAUCAUAAAUACACGCCGUGAUUUGGGAUUGGGGAUUGCAAUUGUUGCCCAUGAACGAGGAAUUCCCAGUAAGCGCAAUUCAUCAUAUUGCGUUGAUUACGUCCCUGCCCUUUGUACACACCGCCCGUCGCUACUACCGAUUGGAAGUUUUAGUGAGGCAUUUGGACCUGCCGAGCAUCUAGAGGGGUAACUCUCUUGGUUUGGCGGGGAAGUCUGUCGAACUCAAAUUUCUAGAGGAAGUAAAAGUCGUAACAAGGUUUCCGU